GCAGCAGCCGCGGUAAUACGUAGGGGGCGAGCGUUGUCCGGAUUUACUGGGCGUAAAGAGCGCGUAGGCGGUUCGUUAAGUUGGCUGUGAAAUCUCCUGGCCUAACUGGGAGGGGUCAGCCGAGACUGGCGAACUUGAGGGCGGUAGAGGAAGGUGGAACUCCGGGUGUAGUGGUGAAAUGCGUAGAUAUCCGGAAGAACACCGGUGGCGAAGGCGGCCUUCUGGGCCGUACCUGACGCUGAGGCGCGAAAGCGUGGGGAGCGAACUGAAUUAGAUACUCAGGUAGUCCACGCCCUAAACGAUGGACGCUAGGUGUCGGGGGUAUCGACCCCUCCGGUGCCGAAGCUAACGCAUUAAGCGUCCCGCCUGGGGAGUACGGCCGCAAGGCUAAAACUCAAAGGAAUUGACGGGGGCCCGCACAAGU
rnacentral:rRNA from 1 species